AUUUCAGCAGUCAUCUGUCUGAAACCUGGAAAAGGACCCUCACCAGAACCCAACCAUGUUGGCACUCUGCUUUCAGACUUUCAGCCUCUAGAACUGUGAGAAAUCAAUGCUUCUUGCUUAAACAACCCAGCCUCCGAAAAAGAAACUGCAAGUCCAUGAACUCCACGGUGCAUCUAAAAGCAAGCCUGAGACCCCUCCUGAGAAGUGAAGAAAUUAGGAAGCCCAGAGUGUUCCAAAUCAAGUCAGCUAUACCUCAGAGAGACAUCAGCCUUAACAAGGCGUGUUUCUAUCCUGAAUACUCAUUGGAAGGACU